AUGUAAAAACUAUUUAGCAUUGCUAAUUUUUUCAGAUUUGUUUUCCUUUUGUCGACAGUUACGUUUGCAUAUUUAUGUACGAUCUUGAUGAAAGUGAAAGUAGAAAUCUUGCAUUGCAGUUUGUGUGUAGCCUAUGUUAGAUGGUUAUCCACUCGGCUCUUUUAUCAAAUUUUUAAUGGAAAAUGUUUGUUUUUAUUAUGUAUUAAGCAACUGGAGUUCAGUGUCUGAGUGCCGUUUUUAUUGAAAGAACCCCAAGCUGUUAAGACUGACGAUUCAACCCAAAGCUGAUUUGACUGAAGAUUGCACGAUCACAAUACAGGUUCAAUAUACAGUCUGUCUGCUAUGAAUAACAUGGAAGAACACCAUGACCCUAGGCUUGCUUCAGAAUAGAAAACCUGUAUUAAUCAACAGAACCUUAAAAUUGGAGACUCCACUGAAGUGCCACCCAGUACCUUAACAUGUGACAAUUUCAAAUCCUAUGAUGAGGUUCCAAGGGGUUAUAAAAUGAAAGAAAAACAAAGAACAGGCCAAGAGAAAAUUUAAGCAAUGCAGUCACUGUCAGGGAAAUAAAGCCAAAAUUAUGUAAAAAUUUGAAAAAAUAAACUCAAG